GGUAUGGGAUGGUGCAGUGGUAGCACGCGUGAGGGGUGCUCACGAGACGCACUUUCGAAUCGCGCUUUUGCCA
rnacentral:tRNA from 1 species